CUCUGCUAAAAGAUAUUGUAGGAUCAGAGUCUACUUUUUGGUAGAACCUUGCAUCGCCAAGUUGUCGUUCAGCCUCUUGAAUAUAGGCAGAUUUAUCCAUGACAACCACUGCACUGCCUUUGUCUGCAGGUUUAAUGACGAUAUUGUUGUUAGAUCGUAAGUUUUUUUAGUGCAGUCCGUUCUUCAUUGGUAAGAUUGUCAAAAG
rnacentral:lncRNA from 1 species